AACCCCAAGAAUCUAGCAAUCAGUCGUAGGCUUAUGUAACGUAACACUGCAUUUUAAAUGACUUGAGCAUGAAAUGAGCUUCGUAUUUGGGAAAUCUCCAAGAAGAUGGACUGCUUCCUGUUAGUUUUCAUUCCCUCGCUCACUCGCUCAUGUGAUUUGAUAGUGAAACGAGUAAAUUCAACAGGCAGGUCAGGAAAGUGGGAGGCUCUUUGCCCCUCUGGGCUUAGAAACUCUGACAUGUGUGUGUUUACACACAGCCCCAAGGAUUCGUUUCCAAUGACAUGACUCUCGCUAACACAACAGCAGCAGCGUAUGCCGGGACUUGCAGAUGUCAUAGUUUGGCCGUCAUUUAAAGCCAAGUACAAGUUGUACCCUGGAGCAAGGCCAGAACUGAGCAUAGGAACAUGAAAAGGGACAACUGGGUGAAUUUAGCACUCGGACAAUAACAACAGAGUUGAAGAUAUUUACGCAGCGUGUUCCCAAUAUGUUGGAGGCCAAAAAUGAAGACACGAGCCCAGUGCCAGGGCACAUACGCUUACACGUGUGCGAGCGUGUGUUGGAAUACACCCCUCGCUUAAAUCCUCCUCCGGGCUUCGAGCCUGAAGCGCUUUUCUCAUCCUGUUGGACAAAAUGCAACUUCAAUCAGAAAACACAAACAAUCAUUGAACAGGCACUUUGAGUUCACAUCAGAAGCAUUCCGCAACAGCUUUCCAUGAGAUGUCAGUAAAGGGAAAACAAAGGCUGUUUAACAUUAAAACACUCUUGAUCAAAAUUAGGUUUUAUGAGGGUUUAAACAGUAAAUCACUGCUCUUACUUGCAUUAGACAAGUAAACGUGCAUAUGUCUAGUUGGUGCCUUGAGCUUACUUGAAAAGAGUGUUCACCCAAAAUUCUGACAUAAUUUUAUUCCCCCUCACAUCAUCCCAAAACUGUAUGACUGUGCAACAGCACAGGUGCUCAUUUAUUAAAAAAGGAAAGAAAAAAGUGACAGAAUAAAUGUUUCACAAUUCUGAAAUUACAUGAGGGUAAGUAAAUGAUGACAUGCAAAUCGCCACAUGCAAUCAGUUUUACGUCUACAAUUUGAGGGAUUAGUGGAAAAAAGGGGGGAAGCAUGGAGUUACAACCAUCUGCAAAUGCAGGAACUUUGGAUAUGGUGAAAUAUUUCAGUUUGUGCAGCUACACACCGAACAGAUGUGAUGUAUUCCAUACAUCUAUGUGCAUGACCUGAGUAUUGUAAAUGUUUUUGUCUGUCUUUUUGUGAAACAUCUGCUGUUUCUGUAAAAUAAAUGGCUAUGAAUGCAGUGAGAAAUAAUUACUAACUGUGGUCUUGGGAAACUCAUUAUAUAUUUCCUUCAAAAUUAUUUGUGGCGUAACUUCUAAGUACAUUUCCUGAAAAGAGAAAGAGAGAGAAACACAAUAUCCAAUAAGAAAAAUUACUUGCUGACUAACAAACUAAACAUUAUUACUAAACGUGGUUUUGAGAAACCAAUGAUAUGUUUCUUCUAAAGUUAUCUGUGGCAUAUAUUGCAUUAUACAGCAUACCUCAAAGGGUUAGUUCACCCCAAAAUGAAAAUUCUGUCAUUAAUUACUCACCCUCAUGUCACUCCAAACCCGUAAGACCUUUGUUUAUCUUUGGAACACAAAUUAACAUUUUUUUGAUGAAUU